GGUGGCUCAAGGGUAGAGUGUUUGCCUUGCAUGCAUGAGGCCCUGGGUUCAAUUCCUCAGCACCA
rfam:Dipodomys ordii contig_56293, whole genome shotgun sequence.